AACGUAGGAGACAAACGUUAUCCGGAGUUACUGGGCGUAAAGGGCGUGUAGGUGUCGGUUUAGUUAGUCUGGCGUGAAAGCUCUCGGCUAAACCGGGAGAGGUCGUUGGAGUACUGCAACGUAGAGGAGUGGUAGAGGCGUGUGGAAUUCCGGGUGUAGUGGUGAAAUGCGUAGAGAUCCGGAGGAACACCAGUGGCGAAGG
rnacentral:rRNA from 1 species